CUUUAUUGGAGAGUUUGAUCCUGGCUCAGGAUGAACGCUGGCGGCGUGCCUAAUACAUGCAAGUCGAGCGAAUGGAUUAAGAGCUUGCUCUUAUGAAGUUAGCGGCGGACGGGUGAGUAACACGUGGGUAACCUGCCCAUAAGACUGGGAUAACUCCGGGAAACCGGGGCUAAUACCGGAUAACAUUUUGAACCGCAUGGUUCGAAAUUGAAAGGCGGCUUCGGCUGUCACUUAUGGAUGGACCCGCGUCGCAUUAGCUAGUUGGUGAGGUA
rnacentral:rRNA from 1 species